AAGAGACAGCAGUAGCCGCGGGAAUACAGAGGGUGCGAGCGUUAAUCGGAUUUACUGGGCGUAAAGCGUGCGUAGGCGGCUUUUUAAGUCGGAUGUGAAAUCCCUGAGCUUAACUUAGGAAUUGCAUUCGAUACUGGGAAGCUAGAGUAUGGGAGAGGAUGGUAGAAUUCCAGGUGUAGCGGUGAAAUGCGUAGAGAUCUGGAGGAAUACCGAUGGCGAAGGCAGCCAUCUGGCCUAAUACUGACGCUGAGGUACGAAAGCAUGGGGAGCAAACAGGAUUAGAUACCCGUGUAGUCCCUGUCUCUUAUAC
rnacentral:rRNA from 1 species